CGACCCCAGGACGGGCGAGACCACCCACCGAGUUUAAGCAUAUCAAUAAGCGGAGGA
rnacentral:rRNA from 1 species